AACAAUUCUCCACAAAAUACCUGUAGCUAGCUAAAACACGAGAUUUAACCAUGUCAAAUGAUUGUUUUAGCAACCCAUGUCUACCAGUGAGGACAAGUUUGCUGUAAGUAAGCUAAUGUUAGUUAUGAGUUAGCAAACUAAGGCAAUUGCAAACAUAAUACUAUAGCUUUCUGAUUUGUCCACAUUCCACUAUAACACAAGUUUCUGUGUACAAAAUGCAGCUUUAGCUUAACUUAUAGACUUGUUAGCUGUUUACUGUUGAAGACAUCAUGACACCCAUGCUCCAACCUCAACCUUCAGCUGUAUUGCCAUCAUGAACCAGGCAGCCUUUUUGACUCAGACUGAAGGACAGCUAUCAAAUCAACACAGCAUACCACUCUGUCUGGGCUUACUUCCUCCACCCACUGUAGGCCUAUGAUGACUGCCAUCAUUUCUGCUGCAUUUAAACAGCUGAUCAGAUCUGACUGACUCUUUGGGCCCAUGAAGAGGCUGGGUGGCCCCUCAUUAAGCACAUUCUGGAUUACAGCUCCUGGCCAAGGCUAUUUCCAACAACAUGCUAGUGCAUUGUAAUGAGCCUCUUUGUGUGCUGCACAAACACACUCAAUCUCCCACUUUAAUCACCGAGGAGGAGAUAGGCUACUCCUCCAGCCCUCCAGCCCUCAACAGGAGCAGUGAGAGGAAAGUGGGAUUUGCAAGUUCCUCCAUCCUCUGAUGACAUAUAAUCUUCUUGGGAGAUGAGUGUUCUGUCACAAAGCUCUGAUUGACAUGUUUAGCAUGAUGGAGGGAGUUAGGAGCAAAAGCUAGGAGAAAUGCUGAAAUGAUUCACAGGGUGGACAGUGAUCCUUCGGCUGUCUGGUCAUUCUGUCGGCCGUGUAGCUGCAGAUCAUCUGUACGUCAAACAGCUUAGGGGGAGAUUCAGGACAUUGUGGGCAGUUCAUAUGGUGUGUUAGUCUUCUGCAUGUACAGCUUGAUUAUAUUUAUGACAUUACAUUCAGAGCAUACUGUAGAAUUUCUCUCCUCAAAAAAACGACAUUAAUGAUUUUUAGUAUUAGUUAACUUAAAAAAAACAUACAUUGUAAAAAUGUUAAAACAAACUUCACAAUCACGCUUGUGAAAUCCACAAGUGUACUGUAGACUAAUUUAUAAAACAGCCUGCAGGCACAGUAUCUGCAGGCUGCCUUGAGAUGAGCAUCGAGUGCUUUGUGGUAACAAAUCGCUGAACAACAGCACUCUUCAGUACCAACCACAAUGAGACAAAUGUUCAGUAUGGUCAGGUGACAACACUAAGCACCACCAGCAUACAGCCGAGUUAGUAGAUAUGGUUUAAGUAAAUGAGUGGUAUCGUCAGCGUUUCACACAGGCAUUUCUAUAAAGAAUGCAAUUGUUAUUUGUUAUUGAACCAUUAUGGAACCAACUACCUGACUAAUCUUAAAGAGCAAGACAACUAUUUUACAAAUGGAGAAAAUGCAUAUUUUCAAUUUCAGCAUUUAAACAUUUUAAAAGGUGAAAUAUUGCAGAUUGCGGAAAAAAAUAGACAAAGCAUUCAUGUCAUUCUGCAAUUUAUUGUUACUCACCUCCACUCCAUCAGAAACCUCUAUAAGACUAACAAAGGCAGCUGUGAUCACUAAGUGUCUAAAGGUCCAGACACACCGAGCCGAUAAUCGGCAGUUGGACAGUCUGGCGAGGUCAGUGACUCGAGUCUGUUCGAUGUGUGUUCCAUGCCAUCAUCCGUCGGAGGGGCCAUCGGCCUUCAUCUUGGCUGAUUUGACAUGUAUAAUCGGAGGGGCGGGCACUGCCAGCAGUUGGACUCAAAUAACCCAUCUGAUUGGUAGAGUGCUAACUCGGAAACGGAGAGCGGAAUGAGCGUGACUAGAGUCUCU